rnacentral:rRNA from 1 species
UACAGAGGUCCCGAGCGUUGUUCGGAUUCACUGGGCGUAAAGGGUGCGUAGGUGGUCGGGUAAGUCCGAUGUGAAAUCUCCAGGCUUAACCUGGAAACGGCAUUGGAAACUAUCCGGCUCGAGGAUUGGAGGGGGGACUGGAAUUCUCGGUGUAGCAGUGAAAUGCGUAGAUAUCGAGAGGAACACCAGUGGCGAAGGCGAGUCCCUGGACAAUUCCUGACGCUGAGGCACGAAAGCUAGGGGAG